rnacentral:rRNA from 1 species
CAGUUCGGAUUGUAGGCUGCAACUCGCCUACAUGAAGUUGGAAUCGCUAGUAAUCGCGAAUCAGAAUGUCGCGGUGAAUACGUUCCCGGGUCUUGUACACACCGCCCGUCACACCACGAGAGUUUACAACACCCGAAGUCAGUGGCCUAACCGCAAGGAGGGAGCUGCCUAAGGGUGGGGUAGAUGAUUGGGGUGAAGUCGUAACAAGGUAAC